GGAGCAGCCCAGAGCCUGAAUCAGUGUGUGUGUUAGUGGAAGCGUCUGGAAAGGCGUGCGAUACAGGGUGACAGCCCCGUACACAAAAAUGCACAUACUGUGAGCUCGAUGAGUAGGGCGGGACACGUGGUAUCCUGUCUGAAUAUGGGGGGACCAUCCUCCAAGGCUAAAUACUCCUGACUGACCGAUAGUGAACCAGUACCGUGAGGGAAAGGCGAAAAGAACCCCGGCGAGGGGAGUGAAAAAGAACCUGAAACCGUGUACGUACAAGCAGUGGGAGCACGCUUAGGCGUGUGACUGCGUACCUUUUGUAUAAUGGGUCAGCGACUUAUAUUCUGUAGCAAGGUUAACCGAAUAGGGGAGCCGAAGGGAAACCGAGUCUUAACUGGGCGUUAAGUUGCAGGGUAUAGACCCGAAACCCGGUGAUCUAGCCAUGGGCAGGUUGAAGGUUGGGUAACACUAACUGGAGGACCGAACCGACUAAUGUUGAAAAAUUAGCGGAUGACUUGUGGCUGGGGGUGAAAGGCCAAUCAAACCGGGAGAUAGCUGGUUCUCCCCGAAAGCUAUUUAGGUAGCGCCUCGUGAAUUCAUCUCCGGGGGUAGAGCACUGUUUCGGCAAGGGGGUCAUCCCGACUUACCAACCCGAUGCAAACUGCGAAUACCGGAGAAUGUUAUCACGGGAGACACACGGCGGGUGCUAACGUCCGUCGUGAAGAGGGAAACAACCCAGACCGCCAGCUAAGGUCCCAAAGUCAUGGUUAAGUGGGAAACGAUGUGGGAAGGCCCAGACAGCCAGGAUGUUGGCUUAGAAGCAGCCAUCAUUUAAAGAAAGCGUAAUAGCUCACUGGUCGAGUCGGCCUGCGCGGAAGAUGUAACGGGGCUAAACCAUGCACCGAAGCUGCGGCAGCGACGCUUAUGCGUUGUUGGGUAGGGGAGCGUUCUGUAAGCCUGUGAAGGUGUGCUGUGAGGUAUGCUGGAGGUAUCAGAAGUGCGAAUGCUGACAUAAGUAACGAUAAAGCGGGUGAAAAGCCCGCUCGCCGGAAGACCAAGGGUUCCUGUCCAACGUUAAUCGGGGCAGGGUGAGUCGACCCCUAAGGCGAGGCCGAAAGGCGUAGUCGAUGGGAAACAGGUUAAUAUUCCUGUACUUGGUGUUACUGCGAAGGGGGGACGGAGAAGGCUAUGUUGGCCGGGCGACGGUUGUCCCGGUUUAAGCGUGUAGGCUGGUUUUCCAGGCAAAUCCGGAAAAUCAAGGCCGAGGCGUGAUGACGAGGCACUACGGUGCUGAAGCAACAAAUGCCCUGCUUCCAGGAAAAGCCUCUAAGCAUCAGGUAACAUCAAAUCGUACCCCAAACCGACACAGGUGGUCAGGUAGAGAAUACCAAGGCGCUUGAGAGAACUCGGGUGAAGGAACUAGGCAAAAUGGUGCCGUAACUUCGGGAGAAGGCACGCUGAUACGUAGGUGAAGCGACUUGCUCGUGGAGCUGAAAUCAGUCGAAGAUACCAGCUGGCUGCAACUGUUUAUUAAAAACACAGCACUGUGCAAACACGAAAGUGGACGUAUACGGUGUGACGCCUGCCCGGUGCCGGAAGGUUAAUUGAUGGGGUUAGCGCAAGCGAAGCUCUUGAUCGAAGCCCCGGUAAACGGCGGCCGUAACUAUAACGGUCCUAAGGUAGCGAAAUUCCUUGUCGGGUAAGUUCCGACCUGCACGAAUGGCGUAAUGAUGGCCAGGCUGUCUCCACCCGAGACUCAGUGAAAUUGAACUCGCUGUGAAGAUGCAGUGUACCCGCGGCAAGACGGAAAGACCCCGUGAACCUUUACUAUAGCUUGACACUGAACAUUGAGCCUUGAUGUGUAGGAUAGGUGGGAGGCUUUGAAGUGUGGACGCCAGUCUGCAUGGAGCCGACCUUGAAAUACCACCCUUUAAUGUUUGAUGUUCUAACGUGGACCCGUGAUCCGGGUUGCGGACAGUGUCUGGUGGGUAGUUUGACUGGGGCGGUCUCCUCCUAAAGAGUAACGGAGGAGCACGAAGGUUGGCUAAUCCUGGUCGGACAUCAGGAGGUUAGUGCAAUGGCAUAAGCCAGCUUGACUGCGAGCGUGACGGCGCGAGCAGGUGCGAAAGCAGGUCAUAGUGAUCCGGUGGUUCUGAAUGGAAGGGCCAUCGCUCAACGGAUAAAAGGUACUCCGGGGAUAACAGGCUGAUACCGCCCAAGAGUUCAUAUCGACGGCGGUGUUUGGCACCUCGAUGUCGGCUCAUCACAUCCUGGGGCUGAAGUAGGUCCCAAGGGUAUGGCUGUUCGCCAUUUAAAGUGGUACGCGAGCUGGGUUUAGAACGUCGUGAGACAGUUCGGUCCCUAUCUGCCGUGGGCGCUGGAGAACUGAGGGGGGCUGCUCCUAGUACGAGAGGACCGGAGUGGACGCAUCACUGGUGUUCGGGUUGUCAUGCCAAUGGCACUGCCCGGUAGCUAAAUGCGGAAGAGAUAAGUGCUGAAAGCAUCUAAGCACGAAACUUGCCCCGAGAUGAGUUCUCCCUGACCCUUUAAGGGUCCUGAAGGAACGUUGAAGACGACGACGUUGAUAGGCCGGGUGUGUAAGCGCAGCGAUGCGUUGAGCUAACCGGUACUAAUGAACCGUGAGGCUUAACCUU
rnacentral:rRNA from 4 species